AGAGCUGAUGGUAUGGAUGUGUUCAAGGUGAAUUAGCAAACUUUAGAUAGCACAAGGCAAAGGCAAUUUUCUGAUGAGCGAUUGAGAAGCGAUGCCAUACCUUCAAGCAGUGUAUCAGGAUGUGUGAAGAAUAUUGGAAGGUGGAUCGGGGAAUGACAUGUCAAAGUACUAUCUAGCAAAAUCUAGCGACUGCUGUGACAUUUCUUACCAGAUUUAUGACGUUUGUUUACCAGUUUACAAUGCUGUAUACGCAUAACUCAAUCUUAACCAGUUAUAGUCAUUACCAGUUGGAUAUAACAGUGUACGCUCUAGAUGUUGAAGAAAGACUCAAAGUAACAUGAUAAUGUUUUGUGCUUGUA